rnacentral:lncRNA from 1 species
CCGCUUUUAAAAAUACAAAAAAUAAAUAAAAAAAAAAAAUCAAAAUUUACACAAAAAAAAAAAAAAAAAAAGUUGAGAGAAUAGUUUGAAAACCUAGUAAAACUUUCCCUAUAAAUACUAAGCUACAAUGAACACAAAGGAGGGGGGUGAAUUUAUUCACGAGGAAAAUUUUACUCGGGGUUGAGAGAAAAAAAAGAUUGAUUGGGGGGAUGAAAAAUUGUGGAGAGAAAAAAAAAUAGAAAACCCUAAAAGCCUAAUCUUCUACACUGAUAAGCGCCGCCUGACCUUGGCCAAAAAAACCAGAGGCCACGGCCAAUCUUUCCCAUUUUUUACAGACCCUUCCCUCUCUCGGUGGCAUCUCCCCGUCAUCUACCUCUCACCAGCCAAAGUUUUUCCUCUUCUCAGCACAACUCCCUCUCGUCCCUCUCAGUUGCAGAAAACACACUCCCUUCUCCUCACUUUGCCUAGAAAAAAAGCCACCGGCCGCUUCCCCAUCUUCUGCUCCCUCACAAGGCUGCCCCCUCCCUUGACCAAGAACAAAAGAACCAUUUCCCCCAUUGUCAUCUCCAUUUUCCCCUCAUUUUCCUUUGGCCUUUGGACCACAACAGCCUCUUUUCCUUCUCAGUUGCAGGAACAAAAGGCGAACCGGGCGGAGACCAGCUCUCUCCUCACUUUGCCUCACCGCCAGUCAAAGAAGAAAGAGGGGCUCACUCUCUCAUCUCCAUCGCCAGGUCUCUCCUCCAUUCGGUCCCCAGCGGCGACCGAACAGCCCUAGCAGCAACGGCCCCUCCAUGAACAACAGCGCCGUCUUCCUCUGGCAGCAGCCCACACAUAGCGGCACCACGAAGCCCCUUCCUCGGCAGCACUUUCUUCUUCGGUCUCUUCAAUAGAAACGGCCACAAACCAGCGGCGUUUCUCCAGCCAGCAGCUGCACAGACGCGACACGAACCCGUUCGCCAAAAGCCUCUUGGUCCCACCGCCGACCACCUGAAAAAGAAAGAAAGGAGAAACAAAAAAUGUGAUCUGCAAACAGAAGCAAAUCUGUAGAGAAAGGAGAAGGUGUUGGAACCGGACAGAUCUAAAAAACAAAAAUAAAAUCAACUGUUUGUGGUGUUUCUUGGCUUUGCAGGUGACGGUGAUCUUCAAGCAGGCGAAGAAGGGAAGGAGAAAAGAAGACGUUCCCAGACCCACCCCGCAAUUCCUGAAGUUUUUAUGGGCUGUUUUGUAAUUUUGAAAUUAUUUAAUGAAAUAUUUUUUAUUUAGUUUUGAAUUUUCGAGGUAAUGAAUUUCAUAAUUUAUUUUGAUUUAUUUUUUAUAAAGUUAUCUCGAUUUAAUGACCUGAGUCCCGACGAGUUUUGUAGGUCUAAUGUAAUUUUAUAUUUAAAAAUGAGAUUUUUUAAUUUAUACUUAACCA